AUUGAACGCUGGCGGCAGACUUAACACAUGCAAGUCGAGCGGGGGAAGGUAGCUUGCUACCGGACCUAGCGGCGGACGGGUGAGUAAUGCUUAGGAAUCUGCCUAUUAGUGGGGGACAACAUCUCGAAAGGGAUGCUAAUACCGCAUACGUCCUACGGGAGAAAGCAGGGGAUCUUCGGACCUUGCGCUAAUAGAUGAGCCUAAGUCGGAUUAGCUAGUUGGUGGGGUAAAGGCCUACCAAGGCGACGACCUGUAGCGGGUCUGAGAGGAUGCUCCGCCACACUGGGGCUGAGACACGGCCCAGACUCCUACGGGAGGUAGCAGUGGGGAAUAUUGGACAAUGGGGGGAACCCUGAUCCAGCCAUGCCGCGUGUGUGAAGAAGGCCUUAUGGUUGUAAAGCACUUUAAGCGAGGAGGAGGCUACUUUAGUUAAUACCUAGAGAUAGUGGACGUUACUCGCAGAAUAAGCACCGGCUAACUCUGUGCCAGCAGCCGCCGUAACAC
rnacentral:rRNA from 1 species